GGAGGAAAAGAACCAACAGGGAUUGCCCCAGUAACGGCGAGUGAAGCGGCAACAGCUCAAAUUUGAAAUCUGGCCCCUCGGGGUCCGAGUUGUAAUUUGUAGAGGAUGCUUUUGGUGAGGUGCCGCCCGAGUUCCCUGGAACGGGACGCCACAGAGGGUGAGAGCCCCGUCUGGCUGGCCACCGAGCCUCUGUAAAGCUCCUUCGACGAGUCGAGUAGUUUGGGAAUGCUGCUCAAAAUGGGAGGUAUAUGUCUUCUAAAGCUAAAUAUUGGCCAGAGACCGAUAGCGCACAAGUAGAGUGAUCGAAAGAUGAAAAGCACCUUGAAAAGAGGGUUAAAUAGUACGUGAAAUUGUUGAAAGGGAAGCGCUUGUGACCAGACUUGGGCGCGGCGGAUCAUCCGGGGUUCUCUCCGGUGCACUUCGCCGCGUCUAGGCCAGCAUCAGUUCGUCGCGGGGGAAAAAGGCUUCGGGAACGUGGCUCCUCCGGGAGUGUUAUAGCCCGUUGCAUAAUACCCUGCGGUGGACUGAGGACCGCGCAUCUGCAAGGAUGCUGGCGUAAUGGUCACCAGCGACCCGUCUUGAAACACGGACCAAGGAGUCGUCUUCGUAUGCGAGUGUUCGGGUGUCAAACCCCUACGCGUAAUGAAAGUGAACGCAGGUGAGAGCUUCGGCGCAUCAUCGACCGAUCCUGAUGUUCUCGGACGGAUUUGAGUAAGAGCAUACGGGGCCGGACCCGAAAGAAGGUGAACUAUGCCUGUAUAGGGUGAAGCCAGAGGAAACUCUGGUGGAGGCUCGCAGCGGUUCUGACGUGCAAAUCGAUCGUCAAAUAUGGGCAUGGGGGCGAAAGACUAAUCGAACCUUCUAGUAGCUGGUUUCCGCCGAAGUU
rnacentral:rRNA from 1 species